UCUCUCGCUGCCGCUCCUCAGCAAAUCCAGCGCCCUGCACUGGGCCAAGCGGAACCGCAAGCCCCGCUGCUGCAGCGCCGGCUGCGUGACACGCACCGCACCCGAGUGUCCGGGUCUCCCUCUCCUUCCUUGUGAGCCGCGAGGUGAUGCAAGCAGAACAGGGCACACGAACACAUCUCACAACCUGCCUGACAUGGAGGCAGAGCGGGAAGGCGUGCAAGGCGUGGGGCUGCUGCUCCGAGGCACAGGCUGUGCACUGGCCUCCCUCGCAAUGGCUGAGGUCACCGGGAAUUUAAAGGCAGGGAUGUAUUCGUACAUUGUGUUUUUAAAUUCCACUUCAACAACGACUGCAGUCAGAUCCUCAGCCCAAUUCAGAGAAGUGUAUGACAAGAACGGUUCCCUCCAUUUCAACUCCCCUAGCUGCUGUCAGAGAAUAAGCGGUUCUUCAUAAAAAUAAAAAGACUUCGUAUGAAAUCCCCACCGCAGCGGGAUACAAAAGACCCCUGGAGAAUGUCAGAAAAUAAAAGAUGCCCCCAAAGAAGCUUUCAGGAGCUCAGGAUGGGAAGCAAAAAGCUCAAUAGCAAUCUAGUUUUCAGUAAGGGGAAAAUUUGAUGGGAAAAUAUCUGAAACAGCAUAACAAAUACCGUGCUUUCGGCAAUAGCAAUCGUCCCAGUGCAGAAGAAAUUGAGGAGCAGCAUGUAAAUGAUGGAAAUCCUACUACUAAGGAAUUAGCAGAUUUACCUGAAGAUAAGGAAUGGAAAUGAGAGGAAAGUGAUGGAGAAUCGUCCAGUUUUCCUAGUGGUGUAAAGGAGAGUGAUGAUAAAGAAGAAUGUGAGUCACAUGAAAAGGAGAGUAUUGACAAAGAAAAAUCUGGUUUACGUGAAAAGGAGAGAAAUGAUAAAGAAAAAUCAGCCUCACAUGAUCAGAGAAACAGCAGUGAGAAAAAUUGCAUACCACAAAUCAAUACAUCAGAUCUUGCUUUAUGGCCAGUGAUCCUAAACUCUGCCAAUACUGAUCAUACAAUUUUGAAUUCACUGGACAAAAUUGAGGAUAUGACGUUUCCUGUAAAUGAGCAGAAACAACACUUCUCAAAGUCACACGGUGAAAGAGUGCUUGAGGAUGGUGAGAAACUGAAUAGUCUUUGGCUAGUUUACUCAAAAUCAACCGAUAAAGUGUUCUGGUUUUGUUGCAAAAUAUUUUACAAGAAUGCCAAAUCGUUGCUUGCGCUUUCUGGGUACAAUUACUGGCAUAACUUAGCUGAUGCUCUGCAACAUAAAAAAAAAAAAAUCACAUAGCAAUUUUACUGCCUACCCAAAUGGAUGGAGGUCGAGUCCAGGCUCAAGCUGAAUAAAUACAUAGAUGCAGAAAACCAGCUCAUUAUUAAUGUA